GGUGCAAAGUCCCUCGUAUUGUUGGUGGCCUUGGCUUUUUCUGGUAUAUAACACGCUGACCCAUCUUACAGACCAUAAAUGGUAAUCAGUUAUGUAAUUUGUUGCAGCAACUUUAUUUUGUACUUUCACUUUACAUAACUUGAAAAUGUUUUGUUAAAAAAAAAAAACUUGGUCAUUUUCAACUUUUUCACACUUAUGAAUUUUAUACUCCAUAAACCUGGCCGUGCUUGGUAAAGGGUUCUAGUUUUGUAAAAUGCCCAUCCUUAAUUUCUAUAUUGUUGAUUCAGAUGGAUAUCCUGAUCAAACCCUCAUAAAGUCUUCUUAUUUGUGCAUAUUGGUUAUUUUAUCCCCAUGUACACCAGUUCUGCCAUCCCAUCCCUGAUACCCUUGCUGUACUCAAGCGUGGCACGGUGGAUCUUCCACUCAUACAAGCCGCUCUUACGCAGGUAUCUGAGGAAUUUGGGAGCCCCGGGAAAAAGCACAUUGUCUGCCACAAUCAUUGAUCCUUUUCCCAGGAGACCAGAGCCCUCCAACAUCUGAAAACAUCACCAUACCAUGAAAUACACAAUUAGCAACAGUAGAAAUUACACCAAAUUCACAAGUGACCACAUAACGGAUACAGAUGAACACUCCUCAUUUUAAAAAUUUUGGAGUUACAGGUAAUUGAAUUUAAAACAUCAUCAUCAGCUGAGUGAGCAUCUAAAGCAGGGAUCUCAAAGUCAAUUUACUUGGGGGCCACCGGAGCUAGGGUCUGGGUGAGGCUGGGCCGCAUCAGGUUUAAAAAAAAACAAAACAAAACACUUUUUCAGUGUUUUGAUCUCAGUCAUGGAUGAUGAGAGAAAAAGCAAAACAGUUGGGCUCGUUCGCUUACGUAUGGGCAGGGCAAAAUCGCGUCAAUUGUGUGCGGUGUGCACACAGCUUAAAGCUGUCAUUUCUGGGUUCAUGAAACCAUAUGGCAUCCAUAUCAAACUAGGCGGGGGCCUCAAACUAGCUUCCUGCGGGACACAUUUGGCCCACGGGCUGCGAGUUUGAGACCCCUGAUCUAAAGCAUCCAAAUAGGCCUGGUUAAAAAAAAUGUCCUCAAUAAAAAAAGUCCGGACAGAUGUCAUGUUGAUCAUACAAUUACAUCAGAAAUUGCAGUGUAAGAUUAUUUUAUCCAUUCUAUCCUAGACAUCUUUCAAGGGUAAGUACUUUUACUUUAUUGUUGUUUUAUUUAGUUCCUUUUAAUGUUUAAAUUCUCUUUACACUUGUAUGACAGUUAAGAAUGUUAAUUUAAAACAUCACCUGUACAGUUAUUAAGGAUUUAAAUGGCAGAAGUUUGAGCCUGAGUGGAAAUUGGUCUCAAAUUAAAACAACAAAAGAACAGACCGUUGACUUUGGCGGUUCCACUGUGUCAAAGUGGCGUUUCUCACAUUGCAAGUCUGCAUGACGGCAGAACAUUAUGACCCAGGUCAAUGUUAUAAUUUAGGCGCUCACAUAACGCAAACUUGGCAAGCUUAAUUAAGGGAAUUGACUUGGACUUUCUUGUUUACAAAGAUUGUUUACAAAAUUGCCUGCAUAUACAGGAGAUGUAUAAUGUCGGCCAAGACUACGUAUAUAAGUGUAGUGUGGUGCAACACUAUCAUUUAUGUCAGAUACCUGUAGAUCAGUAAGGUAGCAUUUCUUCCAGUGAUCCAUGAAAACAAAAUCCAGUCUCUCCAAACCAAAAUCAGACCUCAGGCGUGGGAUCACUUCAUCUGAUGGAUUCACAAUCAGCUCUACCUAGGUAAUGAAGAACAGACUAUGUAUGAAUGUAGUACAAACUAAUGUUCAUUCUAAUCUAAGGCUUCCAAUGUUUUUAGAUCCCUCACACUGUCGUCAUCAAAGCCUGCCAGGCGGAUUAUUUUCUCAGCGAUGGCAGCAUUCCUCUGGUCCAUCUCAAUACUGUAGAUCCUGGCACCCAGAGACAGAGACCGGGCCAUACGCACAGUGCUGUACCCGCAGUGAGUCCCUAAUUCCAGGAUUGUAAGAGGACUUUGUUCUGCCAGUAGCCUGUCCAGGAUCUUUCCUGCACAUGUGAACGAUGCAUGCAAAUGCAAAAUGGCGCUUCACGUAUAAGCAUCAUUAACAUAUAUUCACCAGCCUCUACAUUAGUAUUGUAGAAUUUAAUGUAUAUCAUAUUCACCCUUUUUAGGUCCAAUGUUACUGAUGUACUCCACCUUGCUGCACCACUCAUCAAAAGCUUCCAGGAUGCUGUCAGGGUCCCCUGGGGUGGCAUGGGUGAGAACGUACUGGUAGGCCCGCUCCUCACGACUCAGGCCAGUAACGCAGUCCUUCCAAAGACGGACCAGGACGGCUCGAUAGAACAACGCAAAGUAGAAGCGGUAUCUGAUGAUCAGCGUCAGCAGGAGUGGGAGGAAGGCCAAAGCAAUGGCAGGGGACACCAUCCUUGUACUCACUACACCUAUAUCACAGCAGACCACUCACCCAGUCUCUGGAAAACGGGACCAUAGAGGAGCAGCUAGGACGGCAGCUUAAAUGCAGGAAGACUCGGGUGUGUAAGUGAAGGCAACAGAGAGCAGCAGCAUCAACGUGUUGUUUGGGACAAAGCAUAGCAGACAUCUGAAGUAUCAAGUGAACAGCAACAGGACACUUCUGAUGAACUUCUUCAGUUCUUUGUCACCCCGAGUCCAGCGCACCAGCCGAAUCAACACCAGCCUUCCCUCCUCCGCCCGAGCCAGCGCCAAGUACCAUCCAGCCUGGGCCCCAUUCACCUUUUCUAAACCGUCAUUAUUGUUUUUGUCAACCGAGUCCAAGCCGGGACAUGCACAAGUGCCUCCUUCCUGCAACCACAGAGCAUUGUGGGCCAUCGCACCUCCGAUUCCUUCCGCCCUCUCGGCACCUCCCCCUGCCCAUCUCAGAAUACGGCUUCGGGCCAAAGGCACCAGCUGCAGGUCCCCUCCCACUGUCGACACGCUGCCCAGGCGCAUCUUGAAGGCUGCCGCGGAGACAAAACUUGUGAGAUAGUCGACACACAAAAACAGAAAACAUUUGAUUUGAUUGUUGAAGCAUCUCAUCAUCUCUCCUCACCAUAUGGACUUUGACAGAAGUUGUCUUGGAUGUCAGUCUCUCCCUCGGCUGCCAGACUGCAGGCGUCACAAAUAACACUUCCUAGGUAUUGGAAAGAAGAGUUUAUGUCUGCGUCUGCAAAGGCGUAACGAGAUAAAACUCUGGAGACAAUUGGGAACUGAUAAGAAGAUACAUGUUCAAUAAAAAUGUCAUGUUAAAACGCAAAACCACAAUCACAGGAAGAUGUUUUUUUUUCCAAACAGAUCUCAUAGUUUAAAUGGGUGCUCUGUUUAAACCAGUGGUGUUAUUAAUAUUCCGUUGUGUUUCAUUCAUUUUAUUAUUAGAAUACGCUGCAGGCUGAUGAACGAUGCAAUCCUCACAGAUAGAACCCAGUAUGUCAACAACACAUCCAGUGUCAUCCCCCUGAACACCGGCUCACCCCAGGGAUGUGUUCCGAGCCCCCUGUUGUUUACUCUGAUGACCCAUGACUGUCGCCCCAGGUACAGCAGCGACCAUUAUUUAAAUCAAGGGUCUCAAACACACGGCCCAAAUGUGGCCCGCAGGACACCAGUUUGAGGCCCCCGCCUUGAUAUGAAAGUUUAAUGUUAGUGCGGCCCACGCAAGUUUGAUAUGGAUGCUGUAUGGUAUCAUGUACCCAGAAAAAAUGAUUACGUUUGAUUCAUGUUCAUGUUAAAGGUUAAAUAACUGUUAAUAGUUAUCCUCCCUAUCCGUGUGGAA